UGAGGUUUACUCUACUUCUUUAGUCAAACAAGGCUUUAACCUCAAUUUAUUGUCGCAUAAGCUUUAAAUUUUCGCAACAGUUGCAGGAAAAUCUAAUAACGGUGAUCGUGAUGAGAAAGCAUAGUAACGAAUACUAGACUUUCCGGUAACAGCUAGAAAACUAAUUUUCAUUUUGUACCUCGAACUGUAUUUUUCUAUUGUGGUAAAAAAUAAAAAUAGUUAAGGACUGAGCGUGAAGCGGAACUAAAAAUGUCAGUGUACGAAUACAACAAAG